UCUGACUNGAGUGCGGAAGGGGAGAGUGGAAUUCCAUGUGUAGCGGUGAAAUGCGUAGAUAUAUGGAGGAACACCAGUGGCGAAAGCGGCUCUCUGGUCUGUCACUGACGCUGAGGCUCGAAAGCGUGGGUAGCGAACAGGAUUAGAUACCCUGGUAGUCCACGCCGUAAACGAUGAGUGCUAGGUGUUAGGCCCUUUCCGGGGCUUAGUGCCGGAGCUAACGCAAUAAGCACUCCGCCUGGGGAGUACGACCGCAAGGUUGAAACUCAAAGGAAUUGACGGGGGCCCGCACAAGCGGUGGAGCAUGUGGUUUAAUUCGAAGCAACGCGAAGAACCUUACCAGGUCUUGACAUCCCGAUGCUAUUCUUAGAGAUAGGAAGUUACUUCGGUACAUCGGAGACAGGUGGUGCAUGGUUGUCGUCAGCUCGUGUCGUGGGAUGUUAGGUUAAGUCCCGCAACGAGCGCAACCCUUAUUGUUAGUUGCCAUCAUUAAGUUGGGCACUCUAGCGAGACUGCCGGUAAUAAACCGGAGGAAGGUGGGGAUGACGUCAAAUCAUCAUGCCCCUUAUGACCUGGGCUACACACGUGCUACAAUGGUCGGUACAACGAGUUGCGAGCCGGUGACGGCAAGCUAAUCUCUGAAAGCCGAUCUCAGUUCGGAUUGGAGGCUGCAACUCGCCUCCAUGAAGUCGGAAUCGCUAGUAAUCGCGGAUCAGCACGCCGCGGUGAAUACGUUCCCGGGCCUUGUACACACCGCCCGUCACACCACGAGAGUUUGUAACACCCGAAGUCGGUGAGGUANCCUUUUAGGG
rnacentral:rRNA from 1 species